rnacentral:rRNA from 1 species
UACGGAGGGAGCUAGCGUUAUUCGGAAUUACUGGGCGUAAAGCGCACGUAGGCGGCUUUGUAAGUUAGAGGUGAAAGCCUGGAGCUCAACUCCAGAACUGCCUUUGAUACUGCAUGGCUUGAAUCCAGGAGAGGUGAGUGGAAUUCCGAGUGUAGAGGUGAAAUUCGUAGAUAUUCGGAAGAACACCAGUGGCGAAGGCGGCUCACUGGACUGGUAUUGACGCUGAGGUGCGAAAGCGUGGGGAGCAAACAGG